rnacentral:lncRNA from 1 species
GCCAGGAAGCUUUCAUUUUUCUUUCCAAUGGAGGUUUCAACGCCACACAAGAUGAUAACAAGAGGUAUACCCAUCAAAAUUCUCAAUUUUGAUGGGCCAUGUUUCUCGUUACAAAUAACACAAGCGGAGUCGGAUUUUGCAGGUUUACCAGCAACUACAGCUUCAGAGAGAAGAACUAAAUUACACAAUAACAAAUCGAAAGAAGUCCAAGUUACGAAAUCUUCAAUAACAAAUCGAAAGAAGUCCAAGUUGCGAAAUCUUCAAAAGAAACAAAAAAUUCAGUUGCUUCAAAGCGGAAAAAACCUUUGAAUGAUUCUUCACGUGUCAAUAUUAAGGAAGUUUAUGCAAAAAAAAAUAUCAUAUACACGACACGAAAAGGUAACUGUCAUUGUAUCAAUAUGCAUUCAAAGAAAUUUGUAUGUAUUCAUAAUUAUUUAAGUUAUUUAAUAUGUAUGAUGUUGUAUUCGUA